ensembl:lncRNA
UUGGCAUCCUUGCUAUGCAAUUUAUGUCUCAUCUGAGAAGAUGUAACUAUCAGAUGCCUCACCCAGAUGUGACUGCUUGUCAACAACUUGGUACAAGACAUAACGUACCUCAAACUCCAGUGAAGACCUGGAAUAGAAGAACAGCUGCAAGUUGCAGAACUCCAGGUGUUGUAAGCGACAUGGGACAGGACACGGACUCGAUCAGCGUGCUGACGUGCAUCUAUGUCACAGGGUGAUCUCUACCUAAAAGGCCAAAAAAGGACUUUAUCUCUCCAGCUCUAAGUGACUGGAUAGUUCUCAGUGGAAAAACAAGGAAGCACUGAUGGUUAUUACAGGAGAGGUCUUACCUGAAAAUUCUCCUAAAUAAGACAUGAACUAUGUCUGCGGAUAGUCUCCUAUGCUGAGAGAAUCAAAAAAGCACAGAUGAGCUGUUAACAACUUUCCAUCUUUGUAAUAAGUUCUGGGGGAGAAGUCAGAAAGAAACAAUAACCCAUGUGGUGACCAUGGAUUACCUCCAAAUAUGGAGAAAGCCAAAGAGAGUGCCCUGAAGCUAUGCAAUCAGUGCAGCCACUGGUGGCUUAUGACAAUGGUUAGAAAGAAAGAGCAAAGAGAAGAUUUACAGACAUUCAGUACAAGUAGAUGACUGAGCCCAAGGUAGAACUAUGAGGCUUGGGAGCAAAACUGACAGACAAGACUUGGACAGCAACCCUCGUGAACCUGUGAAUUUAAUUUUUUUAUGCUCAGAAUGGUCUUCUAGUGUGGCUCUCUGAAUCUCCCUUGGAAUGUAUGGCAGAUGUCUGUAAUUUCCUCAGCUUGUGUUGCCUUCUAAACCAAAGCCUGGGUUUCAAUCACCUUGUGUUGCUGUGGUUUGUGCCUGCUGACUCCGGAAAACAGAGAAGAGCUCAGGAUAGAUCUGCCUCCCUCUUUUUUAGGACUUAAAGAAGUUGUUACCUACUUGUCUUCAGAAUGUAUCCAUCUGGGAUAAUGUUUCCCAUUCACAUUAAUUUAUUUAUCAAUAUUGCUGUCUUCAGCUAUUUUCCUCUGCAUAUCAUUGCCACAUCAGUUUUAUUACAGAGAGGUAACUGCCGCAACACCAGCUUUAUACCUUUACCUUUUAAAAUUUUGCAGAUCUGUGGUCAAUCAAUCACUCAGUUCUUAAGAUGAGAUUCUGUUCCUCGAAUUUGAUGCCUUGGAUCAUUUUAACCUUCAUGAUGAAAUGCUGUUGUUCGAAACUUGCCAUUAUAUGUUUAAUCUUGCUAAACAGACAGUGUGAUACACGAAAUGGAAAGGACUUUUUUUAUUAUUGUUCUUUAAUUAUUGAAGGAACACUGCCCACGAAAUAUAGCUAAAACUGUCUGCUCUUUCACACUCUUGGAAAUUAAUUCUUUUUUGCUUGUAUGUUCUUAUGCCGAG